GACGAACGCUGGCGGCGUGCCUAAUACAUGCAAGUGGGACGCAAGGAAACACACUGUGCUUGCACACCGUGUUUUCUUGAGUCGCGAACGGGUGAGUAACGCGUAGGUAACCUGCCUAUUAGCGGGGGAUAACUAUUGGAAACGAUAGCUAAUACCGCAUAAUAUUAAUUAUUGCAUGAUAAUUGAUUGAAAGAUGCAAGCGCAUCACUAGUAGAUGGACCUGCGUUGUAUUAGCUAGUUGGUAAGGUAAGAGCUUACCAAGGCGACGAUACAUAGCCGACCUGAGAGGGUGAUCGGCCACACUUGGACUGAGACACGGCCCAGACUCCUACGGGAGGCAGCAGUAGGGAAUCUUCGGCAAUGGACGAAAGUCUGACCGAGCAACGCCGCGUGAGUGAAGAAGGUUUUCGGAUCGUAAAGCUCUGUUGUAAGUCAAGAACGUGUGUGAGAGUGGAAAGUUCACACAGUGACGGUAGCUUACCAGAAAGGGACGGCUAACUACGUG
rnacentral:rRNA from 1 species